UGCUACAGGCUUAACACAUGCAAGUCGAGGGGCAUCAGGAAGAAAGCUUGCUUUCUUUGCUGGCGACCGGCGCACGGGUGAGUAACACGUAUCCAACCUGCCCUUUACUCGGGGAUAGCCUUUCGAAAGAAAGAUUAAUACCCGAUAGCAUAAUGAUUCCGCAUGGUUUCAUUAUUAAAGGAUUCCGGUAAAGGAUGGGGAUGCGUUCCAUUAGGUUGUUGGUGAGGUAACGGCCCACCAAGCCUUCGAUGGAUAGGGGUUCUGAGAGGAAGGUCCCCCACAUUGGAACUGAGACACGGUCCAAACUCCUACGGGAGGCAGCAGUGAGGAAUAUUGGUCAAUGGGCGCUAGCCCGAACCAGCCAAGUAGCGUGAAGGAUGAAGGCUCUAUGGGUCGUAAACUUCUUUUAUAUAAGAAUAAAGUGCAGUAUGUAUACUGUUUUGUAUGUAUUAUAUGAAUAAGGAUCGGCUAACUCUGUGCCAGCAGCCGCGGUAAUACGGAGGAUCCGAGCGUUAUCCGGAUUUAUUGGGUUUAAAGGGAGCGUAGGUGGACCGGUAAGUCAGUUGUGAAAGUUUGCGGCUCAACCGUAAAAUUGCAGUUGAUACUGUCAGUCUUGAGUACAGUAGAGGUGGGCGGAAUUCGUGGUGUAGCGGUGAAAUGCUUAGAUAUCACGAAGAACUCCAAUUGCGAAGGCAGCUCACUGGACUGCAACUGACACUGAUGCUCGAAAGUGUGGGUAUCAAACAGGAUUAGAUACCCUGGUAGUCCACACAGUAAACGAUGAAUACUCGCUGUUUGCGAUAUACAGUAAGCGGCCAAGCGAAAGCAUUAAGUAUUCCACCUGGGGAGUACGCCGGCAACGGUGAAACUCAAAGGAAUUGACGGGGGCCCGCACAAGCGGAGGAACAUGUGGUUUAAUUCGAUGAUACGCGAGGAACCUUACCCGGGCUUAAAUUGCAGUGGAAUGAUGUGGAAACAUGUCAGUGAGCAAUCACCGCUGUGAAGGUGCUGCAUGGUUGUCGUCAGCUCGUGCCGUGAGGUGUCGGCUUAAGUGCCAUAACGAGCGCAACCCUUAUCUUUAGUUACUAACAGGUUAUGCUGAGGACUCUAGAGAGACUGCCGUCGUAAGAUGUGAGGAAGGUGGGGAUGACGUCAAAUCAGCACGGCCCUUACGUCCGGGGCUACACACGUGUUACAAUGGGGGGUACAGAAGGCAGCUAGCGGGUGACCGUAUGCUAAUCCCAAAAUCCUCUCUCAGUUCGGAUCGAAGUCUGCAACCCGACUUCGUGAAGCUGGAUUCGCUAGUAAUCGCGCAUCAGCCACGGCGCGGUGAAUACGUUCCCGGGCCUUGUACACACCGCCCGUCAAGCCAUGGGAGCCGGGGGUACCUGAAGUACGUAACCGCAAGGAUCGUCCUAGGGUAAAACUGGUGACUGGG
rnacentral:rRNA from 1 species